GACUUCUUUACUUGUGCCGAGGGUAUGAAGGAUGAAGCUAAUGAGGUCGUGGAGGCGAUUGCCAAGAAGAUUGUCCAAGACAUGCACUAUGAGGGGCGCGUCGAUGCCGUGGUGAAGUAUUUCGCGCAUGAACGCAACAUGCUUCUCAAAAAGCAACUAGCCCGGAGAGUCCAUCUCACCCGUUCGAUGUACAUGAAGGCGGUUCCCCCGUGGUGCAACAACAAGAUUCCUUGCUAUCAGCAAAUCAUAUCCAGGUGGAUAAACCCGGAGUGGAGGGUCACACAUAGAGCAUGUUCG
rnacentral:rRNA from 1 species